rnacentral:lncRNA from 1 species
AUUGUGAUCUCUACCAUGAAAUUCUUGUCUCUGUUUGUGUGUCUUUUAAUCGCGCUAAUCGCAGUUAAGGCAGAUCCUUUAUCGCCGUCUUUUCAAAAAUGCCUGGAUGAAAUAAGUGAUGCGGAAUUGUGUGAAAAUUUCAAAGAUCAAUUCCCGGAAGAUGCACCUGCUGUUCCUCUCGAUGAAUUUACCUUCGAGGCGUAUUCUGGAUAAUUUAACUUCACUUUCGUUGAGUAAUUCCGACGAACGCGAAUUAAGCUGAAUAAUUUAUUGUGCACUAUUGCUUUAUAAGUUAAGCAAAUAAACAAAUUUGUUUUGAUGUAAUAUUUGAUUGGUUUCCAUCGAUUUGUGUUUUG